rnacentral:rRNA from 1 species
CACGUAGGGCGCAAGCGUUGUCCGGAAUUAUUGGGCGUAAAGAGCUCGUAGGCGGUCUGUUGCGUCCGCUGUGAAAACUCGGGGCUUAACCCCGAGCCUGCAGUGGAUACGGGCAGACUAGAGGUAGGUAGGGGAGAAUGGAAUUCCCGGUGUAGCGGUGAAAUGCGCAGAUAUCGGGAGGAACACCGGUGGCGAAGGCGGCUCUCUGGGCCUUACCUGACGCUGAGGAGCGAAAGCGUGGGGAGCGAACAGG